rnacentral:lncRNA from 1 species
CCCAAAGGCCCAGAAAAUAAAAUAGAUAUUGAAAUAUAUUUACAACAAAAUAAGCUGCCAAAAAUUCUAAAUGAAAAAUUAAACGUAUUAAACACUCUAAUUAGUAAUCCGGAAAUUCUAGAAGCUAUUAAACAAGUAAAGCCCAAGGCCCGGAUGGUCUAACAGCAAAAUAUUAUUUAAAAAAUUACAAAACUGGCUAGUGCAACCAUUACAAAAUGUACUGAGUGGAAUAUUAGCAACAGGAAAGACACCAUAGACAUGGGAAGAGGCAUACAUUACUUUAAUCCCAAAGCAAGAGGCAGAUAGAUUAGAAGUUGAAAAUUAUAGACCAAUUUUAUUACUAAACUGUGAUUGUAAAAUAUUUGCUAAUAUUUUAGCAAAGAGAAUGAAAGGUCUAUUGUUGGAAAUAAUCCACCAAGAUCAAGCAGGAUUCCUCCCAGGUUGACAAAUGGCCCCCUGCUGAACAGGUUUGCUGACCCUUGCUUUGAAGACUGGCGAAAAGAUGUUACAAAAUUUAUUUGGCAGGGGAAGAAGCCAAGAAUAAAAUACAAAUUAUUAACAGCUAUUAAAGAAAGAGGAGGCUUUUCACUGCCAGAUCUGAAACGCUAUUAUGAAGCCUUAUGUAUUUGUUGAAUUCGAGAAUGAAUCAAAUUUUUUAAAAAUACAGAUUUAUUAAAUCUGGAUGGGUAUGAUAAUAGAUUGAGUUGGCAUAGUUACUUAUGGUAUGAAAAGGCAAGAAUGUCGGAUUCUCAGGCCUCAGUCAGAGGUAACUGGCCACUCUCCAGGCACUCGGCUUGAGAUCCUUGUUGACCUCCCUGUCUGCGUCUCCCGGCAGGAUACAGGCAAGGUCACAUUCGGCGAUCCCACUCAGCGUGAGAGGGACACACCAUUCCUCCCUCCUCCCUGCUUCCCUCAGGGAGGGGAAAGAGACAGACAGAAAUCUAUUUACAUGUCUUUAUUUCUGUCAUUGCAGCAGUACAGAGAAACACGUCUGCACUCUCCAGUCUCCAACAGUAGAGAGAUAAAACUCCACCCCUGUACUUCCAGUACAGGUCAGAUGACACUCUGAGCUAACAUCCGGUGCUCAGUACAGUGAAUAGAUUGCCCCUUUGUUCCCAUGGUACAGUCCCAAACAUCAACAUCCUGUUUUGCUUUGCAGACACCUGCAGCUCGCUCUUGCAUUGCUGCUUUUUCCUGACAUCCUGCCCCAAAAGUAUCAAUGUGCGUUGCGAGCAAAGUGUGAUCCAGAGAAGAAUACAAACAGUUGUUAUACAUAUAACAAUCCCCUGUUGUUUCAGUUCCACCCUUGGAACUCCCCGCCACUGGUUUCCCCAGUGUACCUCUCUGGUUGUCUGGCUUCCAAGGAAUGAGUGGCAUCUGCAUUACCUUGGCUUGUAACUCUCUGUUGUGUCUUUGUCUCUGACUUAGACACAGCUUCAACCUGUCUUGAGUUGUUAACAAUAGCAACACAUGCAACAGCUAAGUUAGCAAACUCUUUUGAAUACCUCUUGGGUGGUACACCCUUUGUAAUUCUCUCAGACCUGCGUAUGAGGUGCUGAUCCUCUCUGCUCACUGGUUCAGCUUCUGGACUCUUAGGAGAACCAGAUCCAAUAGUAAACAGUGGUUCUUCCUUCAUCUGUGAAGGCCUAUCCAUUGUGUAAGACUUCCUCUCAAUGACUGUGUCAACUGAGCUCUGUGAGCUAUCACUGUCAUCAUCACCACUGUAAUCAGUAAAAUCAUUAUCAUCAUCAUCUGAAUUGCCCUCAGUGGGAAAUGUGUGAACAAUUACUCUCUCCUGUUCAGGAGCACUCUCUAGAAAUUUUGUGAGAAUCACCUGACCAGAUUCAGACAAAAUUACUCUGUAGAGACCCUUUUCAUAUCCCACAAAAAUGCCUCUGGCAUUCUUUACUCCACCUGGAGCUUCUGUUCUCACAUGAGACCCAAAAACCUUAAAAUAGGCAACAGAAGGUUUUCUAUGGAACAGCUUCUCAAAAGGAGAACUUCCCAACUCUUUUGAGACCUUUCUCAACCACGUGUGAACAUAAGACAUUAACGACUCCGCAAUUCUUUGUUCACCCGUACACAGACACCCCUGUUCCACGCUUCCGCUGAAACAGCAACCUUGUGGUUAAUCCCUUUCUUCUGCAGGAACUCCUGAAAAUCUUGUAAAAGAAAAAUUGGCUUCUCAUCUGUGAAAAGACAAUCUAUGUUAGCAUCAGGCACAUUUUUAACCUUGUCACAAAACUCCUUAAACCUUUCUAAGGCUUCUUUUGGUUUCUCAAAUGUAUAUACCCACACAUAAUGAGAGAAACAAUCCACACACACAAGAUAAUAUCUUGCAUUGCCUCUAGAUGGUGCUAGAGGACCAAUCACAUCAGCAUACACCUGCUGAAAUGCUCUGUCGACCCCGGUCACCUUCCGGGCGUCCUUGGUCAUACCUGCGAGAGAAAUUUCAUUAGAAUCAAAUGCAUUACAUUUCAUGUAAUCACUUUGAUCAAAAGUCAACAAAUACAGUCCAUCUUUCUCUCUGGCAGAAAGAUACAGCUCUCCAUCUUUGAAGAUCUUGCAGCUCUUAUCAUCAUAGGACAGUUUCAGUCCUUUCUUUGCAAUCUGCGAAACACUCAGCAGAUUGAACUUCAACUCAGGAACCAAGUACACAUUGUGUAUAGUCAAGUUCAGACUCUCAAGAUACACAGUUCCAAUCCCGGUCGCUUCCAGCUCCUGACCGUUGGCCUGCUUCACAGUGAAGCUUUGCUUCUUAAAUGUCGAAAACAGACCUCUGUGUGACGUCAUGUGAUUCGAACAACCCGUGUCAAUGAUGAACGUGUUCUCCACCUCUGGCGUGGUUCCUUUCGACAUCAAAGCCUUUGCAGGUUUCACCUGGGACUUGGUGCGACUUUUGCCUGACGCCUCAGGCUUCGCAGAGCUCCCCUUGGCUCCUUUCUGUUGACGUGGCUUCUUACAGUUCCGCUGAAGAUGCCCAGUCUGUCCACAAUUGUAACAUCAGACAGCGCUCAAGGCUACAGCAUGCUCCUCAGUAGCAACAUCAGUGGGGGAGUCAGAACUCCGUGCCUCUCUCCCCCUGUCCUUCACAUCCAGUGCAGCAAGGCGAUCGUGUUCAUUCGGAACAACGGCACACACCCUCUCCGAAGUGAGAUCCUGGGCCGGUAGGGAACCAAGCUGACUGGCAACUGUUUUGUAAGUCCGAUUAAGGCUGUUGAUAAUCAUGAAGCAAAAGACCUCUUCUUGUAGACGGAAAUUGCGCUCCGCCAUCUGCUGACGCAGGAACUUCAUCUCAGUCAAAUGCGCUUGUACAUCUCCAUCAGGCGCAAGCCUCAGCUUGGUCAGCUUUUCAAAAUGCAGCAACACUGAAGAACCAGCAUCUCUCUGAUGUGUUCUACGCAGCGUCUCCCAAAUCUCUCGUGCGUUCACUAAAUCCCGGAUAUGCACGAGUUGCUGAUCUGAGACACAGAGAAUUAUAGCCGUCCUGGCUUUCAGAUUCUGUGAAUUCCAACCUGGCGUUGGUGCUGCAGGAAUGGGGUUCUCAAUCACCCCAAAAAUCCUCUGAUUCUGUAGCAGAGCUUUCAUCUUUAUAGACCAAGAUGAGUAAUUGUCAUUAGUCAGGGGAGGUGGGUAAGGUAAGCCUGCCCCCUUCUUGGCAUCCAUUUUGACUCCAAGCCGCAGCUUUCACUCUCGAGCCUGUAAAAUCCAACAGUCACUCUUGGUUGUUUACUGCCUUUUUCUCACUUGGCAGAUAAACCGCAAGCUGCAUAAAAUGUCCUUGCACAGAACAGGGAGAUAGUCAAAAUAAAAUAGUUUCCUGCUUGGCAGGGGGUUGGACUCGAUGGCCCUUGUGGUCUCUUCCAACUCUAUGAUUCUAUGAUUCUACUCUCCGUGUUCCAGCCCCUUUAGCCAGUAAGUUUCCACUCUACUGACUUCCCGUUGCUUAGCAACAGCACAUUCCAGCGUUAUCUAGGAAUGCAAGGUAUUCGGCUGUUUUCCUGUGCUGGCUUUCAGCCUAACGCAGACACACAGCGAACCGAAGAUAUUUUUCUUUACACGUUCACUUCACACAGCCAUAAAUUCUCCAUACCUUGGGGCUCCGUUGCUUGGCUUUCACUCCGUCUCGAUGCCCAGCCGUCUGUUUAGCUUCUAGCUGCACACAGACUUAUCUUCCUCCCGUGGUGCAGAGGAUGAAGAACGAUCCAUCAACCUCUCAUGCAGAUUUCAAUGGAUCAAAACCACCGGCAAUGCUACCAGAUGUCGGAUUCUCAGGCCUCAGUCAGAGGUAGCUGGCCACUCUCCAGGCACUCGGCUUGAGAUCCUUGUUGACCUCCCUGUCUGCGUCUCCCGGCAGGAUACAGGCAAGGUCACAUUCGGCAAUCCCACUCAGCGUGAGAGGGACACACCAUUCCUCCCUCCUCCCUGCUUCCCUCAGGGAGGGGAAAGAGACAGACAGAAAUCUAUUUACAUGUCUUUAUUUCUGUCAUUGCAGCAGUACAGAGAAACACGUCUGCACUCUCCAGUCUCCAACAGUAGAGAGAUAAAACUCCACCCCUGUACUUCCAGUACAGGUCAGAUGACACUCUGAGCUAACAUCCGGUGCUCAGUACAGUGAAUAGACUGCCCCUUUGUUCCCAUGGUACAGUCCCAAACAUCAACAUCCUGUUUUGCUUUGCAGACACCUGCAGCUCGCUCUUGCGUUGCUGCUUUUUCCUGACAAAGAAUUCAUCAAGGCUUCUGAAAUAAUAUAAUAAGGAAAGUGAUAUUUAAAGUUUGGAGAAAGUAUAAAGGAUUACUGGAACAAAAAACACCAUGGUGACUAUCGUACAUAGGCAAUAUCAGUGAAAAAAAUAAAUAUGGCUACGUAUAGAAGGUUGUUAACAGAAAUAGGAAACCAAUUAAAAUUGAAAGAAUUUAAUGAAAUUAGGGAGAAAAUAACAAAAUGGCUGCAAUAUUUUCAGUUAAAUGAAACAUUUAAGAAUGAUAAAAAGAAAGGAUUUCAGUAUGAAAUUUCAACUUUUCAGAAAGAAAUGAUAGGAAAUUAAUAUCGAAAAUGUACAAUCUGUUGCUAGAAUGGGAAACAAAAGAUGAAGAGGUUAAAUCAAUCAUGUUUAAAUGGGCACAAGAUGUGGGACACAAUAUACAGAUGGAGGAAUGGGGAAAAACUAGGGAAGAAUGAGAUAAAAUUUACGGCAUGUGUAGUGAUGAAAGAAAAUUAUAUGAAAAUUAUAGAUAGAUGGUAUCUAACUCCAGUAAAAUUAGCAAAAAUGUACAAAAAUAAAGAAAGUAAAUGUUGGAAAUGUGAAUUAGCAGAAGGGACAUUUUCCCAUAUGUGGUGGGAUUACAAAAUUGUAAAGAAAUAUUAGGAAAUGAUUUACAAUGAAAUGACGAUGUUCAAAAUAACUUUUGUUAAAAAACCUUCCAAAUAGGUAUUACAGGAGCAGUUAUACCAGCACAUAUUUAAGUCUGCAACUACAGCCACAUGAAUACUACUAGCACAACAUUGGAAAGAAGAAGGGUCCCAGCUGAAAAAGAUUGGCAAGUUAAACUAAUGGAAUAUGCUGAGAUGGCAAAAUUGACAUUGAAACUAAGAGGAAGAGACAAUAACAAAUUUAAGGAAGAUUGGAAGGACUUUAUUGCAUAUAUACAGAAGCAAUGUACACAGGUUAGUACAUUAGCCGGCUUCUAGAACUACUUGUAAUGAUACUAUGAAGGGAGAAUGAGUAAUUUUCAAUGAUUUUUCAAUUUAAAAUGGACAUGCGGUAUGAUGAUAAACAAUGGAACCAGGAAAGGGACCAGGGGGAAGUCAAUUCUU